UAGCUGUGCUAGGGGUGCCCUGUGCUGAGAGACGGCAAGCUGCUGUUAACCCUUAUUACCCGAUCUAGGUCAUACUAGCGUGGGGAAGUGUAGCAUUUAUGCU
rnacentral:ncRNA from 2 species